GCACAUGCGCACAAUGCUUGUUUACUGGAAAAUUCCUGCAGGCGCAGCUGAAGCCAGCGCCAUCUUGUAAUGGCGAUUGCGGCUCUCCACAAGGGUGGGGUUGGGAAUGAGAAAUGGGAUGUGUGGAGAAAGGAGAAACUGAGAUCAUGACUUAUUGUAUGUGAGGAAAAGGGAGAACAUAUCCAUACCAAACAUGCAAGCUGCAACAGAGCAUGGCAGGAAACAAUUGAAUGUGAUAUCAGAAAAGUCCAGAGCAACAGGGAUUCCAGGGGCAUAUAUACAAGGCAGAAAAAUGCAAUUGACAAGCUCUAGAAAAAGGAUAACCAGAGGGGAACCAUUCACAUCCUGUCUCUUAUCAACCAGCCUGAAGUCCCUGAGACCUAGUUAGGGCUGUCAUUCUAAGGGAGGGGUAGAGGAAAGAGAGAUAAGAACACAGGGGAGGUACCAACAGAGGAAGGAAGCUGGAUACAUUCCUUUGUAAACCCAGCAUGUGGGAAACAGCUGGGAGCUUGAAUUUAACCUUUGUCAUCCCUGGAACUGGAAAAGCACAUCUAGUUCACACAGAUACUGUUCCCAAAUGGAACUUUUAUAAAUUUAUGGAGAAUUUCAGGUUCAGCCAGGAGUCCACACCCUUCUAUUGUACCAGAGGCUCAGGAAUCAAGGAGCAACACUCAUGCCCAGACGUGAACCUGCCUGAGCUGGCUGAAGGUGUCAAGUCUGUUCUUCAAGCCUUGGAGCAGUGGCAGCAAACACUCAUGUAACUGCAGGUUGAGGGUACAGGAAACUUACCCAAGUUUUAUACUUGCUUUUAAUUUUGUCAUAGGUACAAUGGACUGAGGUGAUAAUGUGCAGGAAACAUUUGCAUCUUAAGUACAAGUAAAAUUAGAAUGGGCAGAAAGAAGGUGGCUGAAGAUCUCCUGAGAGAGAGAGAGAUGUCAGCAAUCAUGAUGAGACAAAAGAAUUUGAAAAACUGCUAAAUUAUAUAUUCUUCAUAUAUGAGAAACAGGGCCUUAUGUAAUGUGCAUAUAGAUAAAAAUCCCUUAAAUAAAGUGAAUGAACGUGGAUAUAGGAUUUUCUCAUGCAAGGAUAUAAGCAACCAGGAAAAAGCUGAAAAAAGAUUCGGAUUGGAUCACAUGCCUGAAUUUGACCAAUCACAGUACAGUGCACAGGAGGAGUUAAAAUGUCUCUUGAAGCUGUCUGCCAAUCAAGGCUCACAUGAAGAUGCAGCUGCUUCAGGGGAACUGCAGUCUCCAGGCCUGCCAACUGGUACAUUCCAUGUAUGACAGGAAUUCUUGGGAUGUGGAAUCUAAAACAUCAGCCAAGGGCAAAGCUGAAUAUCCCACAGUGGCGUCUAAUGGAGCAAAUGUAAGUGUCCAUGGAGCAUAUAAGAAGGAGAACGAAAAGCAAAUAUGGAAGUUAUCCUCCAACUACUUAAGGGAUGCCAAGAUCCAUGAGAAAAUAGAGGAAACAGGAAAGUAGACUCUUUUAGAACAUUUGCAAGAAGCCUGGCCCAGCUAAGGACGCAACUUCAGGAUUGUGGCUUCAUGAACAGGAACAGAGUAAGUAAUUUAAAGCACUUGUUUGUUUGUUUGUUUGUUUGUUUUUGUUGUUUGUUUGUUUGUUUGUUUGUAGUUUCGCCACUACAGGGAUAAGAAACUGCAUAAGAGCAGCACAGUGAGAGAGACCAUGGCAGUUGCUGAAAUGUAUAUGAGACAAGAGAACCAAGUCUAAGGAAGAAUUCAUGAGGGCUCAUAUAUAAGCAGGAAACUUGGUGUCAUGGUUUCAUACUGCCAGGAGGUAAGAUACAAAGAAUCGGAAGAGAAGAAUCAACU
rnacentral:lncRNA from 1 species